rnacentral:rRNA from 1 species
UGGAUCCAGACUUUGAUCAUGGCUCAGGAUGAACGCUAGCGACAGGCUUAACACAUGCAAGUCGAGGGGCAUCAUGAGGUAGCAAUACCUUGAUGGCGACCGGCGCACGGGUGAGUAACGCGUAUGCAACCUGCCCGAUACCGGGGUAUAGCCCAUGGAAACGUGGAUUAACACCCCAUAGUACUUUUAUCCUGCAUGGGAUGUGAGUUAAAUGUUCAAGGUAUCGGAUGGGCAUGCGUCCUAUUAGUUAGUUGGCGGGGUAACAGCCCACCAAGACGAUGAUAGGUAGGGGUUCUGAGAGGAAGGUCCCCCACAUUGGAACUGAGACACGGUCCAAACUCCUACGGGAGGCAGCAGUGAGGAAUAUUGGUCAAUGGACGUAAGUCUGAACCAGCCAAGUCGCGUGAGGGAAGACUGCCCUAUGGGUUGUAAACCUCUUUUAUAAGGGAAGAAUAAGUUCUACGUGUAGAAUGAUGCCUGUACCUUAUGAAUAAGCAUCGGCUAACUCCGUGCCAGCAGCCGCGGUAAUACGGAGGAUGCGAGCGUUAUCCGGAUUUAUUGGGUUUAAAGGGUGCGUAGGCGGUUUAUUAAGUUAGUGGUUAAAUAUUUGAGCUAAACUCAAUUGUGCCAUUAAUACUGGUAAACUGGAGUACAGACGAGGUAGGCGGAAUAAGUUAAGUAGCGGUGAAAUGCAUAGAUAUAACUUAGAACUCCGAUAGCGAAGGCAGCUUACCAGACUGUAACUGACGCUGAUGCACGAGAGCGUGGGUAGCGAACAGGAUUAGAUACCCUGGUAGUCCACGCCGUAAACGAUGCUCACUGGUUCUGUGCGAUAUAUUGUACGGGAUUAAGCGAAAGUAUUAAGUGAGCCACCUGGGGAGUACGUCGGCAACGAUGCAACUCAAAGGAAUUGACGA